UAGGAUGGAUGUUAACCUCACUGAAGUUAUC
rnacentral:piRNA from 1 species